AGUGAACGCUGGCGGUAGGCCUAACACAUGCAAGUCGAACGGCAGCACAGUAAGAGCUUGCUCUUACGGGUGGCGAGUGGCGGACGGGUGAGGAAUACAUCGGAAUCUACUUUUUCGUGGGGGAUAACGUAGGGAAACUUACGCUAAUACCGCAUACGACCUACGGGUGAAAGCAGGGGAUCUUCGGACCUUGCGCGAUUGAAUGAGCCGAUGUCGGAUUAGCUAGUUGGCGAGGUAAAGGCCCACCAAGGCGACGAUCCGUAGCUGGUCUGAGAGGAUGAUCAGCCACACUGGAACUGAGACGCGGUCCAGACUCCUACGGGAGGCAGCAGUGGGGAAUAUUGGCCAAUGGGCGCAAGCCUGAUCCAGCCAUACCGCGUGGGUGAAGAAGGCCUUCGGGUUGUAAAGCCCUUUUGUUGGGAAAGAAAAGCAGCAGGUUAAUACCCCGCUGUUCUGACGGUACCCAAAGAAUAAGCACCGGCUAACUUCGUG
rnacentral:rRNA from 1 species